GGGGCUACGCGUCCGCACUCCGCAGGAGGCCGCCGCGCGGUUCCACGCCGCGUGCGUCGUCGGAUAAAGUUGGGCAUCUCCUGCUCUGUUCUCGCCUCAGUCCCUCCCCGUUCGCCACCACCACCACCACCGCUACCACACCACGCCACAGUCGCAGCGCGCAGGCCAGGACCGCGCGCGCGCACGAGAGCCGGCGGCAGCCAUGUCCGCCCCGAAGCUGGGCCGCAACCUGAGCAUCCGCGACCGCGUCGAGGACACCCUCCACGCGCACCGCAACGAGCUCGUCGCCCUCCUCUCCAAGUACGUGAACAAGGGGAAGGGCAUCCUGCAGCCGCACCACAUCCUCGACGAGCUCGACGAGGUCCAGGGCUCCGGGGGCGGCGCGCUCGCCGAGGGCCCCUUCCUCGACGUCCUCCGCUCCGCGCAGGAGGCGAUCGUGCUGCCGCCGUUCGUGGCCAUCGCGGUGCGCCCGCGCCCGGGGGUGUGGGAGUACGUCCGCCUCAACGUGCACGAGCUCAGCGUCGAGCAGCUCACCGUCCCGGAGUACCUGCGCUUCAAGGAGGAGCUCGUCGACGGCCAGCACAAUGAUCCCUACAUGCUUGAGCUUGACUUCGAGCCAUUCAAUGCCUCAGUCCCACGCCCAAAUCGGUCAUCCUCUAUUGGAAAUGGCGUGCAGUUUCUCAAUCGACACCUCUCUUCGAUCAUGUUCCGCAACAGGGAUUGCCUGGAACCCCUGCUGGAUUUCCUCCGUGGCCACCGGCACAAGGGUCAUGUUAUGAUGCUAAAUGAUAGGAUACAGAGCUUGGGGAGGCUUCAGUCGGUGCUGACUAAAGCUGAGGAGUACUUGUCAAAGCUUCCAGCUGACACACCAUACUCACAGUUCUCUUACAAAUUUCAAGAAUGGGGCCUGGAGAAAGGUUGGGGGGAUACAUCUGAACAUGUGUUGGAAAUGAUUCAUCUACUUCUGGAUAUCCUUCAAGCACCUGAUCCAUCUACACUGGAGAAAUUCUUGGGGAGGAUCCCCAUGAUUUUUAAUGUUGUUGUAGUAUCCCCUCAUGGAUACUUUGGUCAAGCUAAUGUAUUAGGUUUGCCAGACACAGGAGGACAGAUUGUCUAUAUACUGGACCAAGUUCGUGCAUUAGAGAAUGAGAUGGUUCUCCGGUUAAAGAAACAAGGGCUUGAUGUUACCCCAAAGAUUCUCAUUGUUACUCGGCUGAUACCAGAUGCAAAAGGGACAUCAUGCAAUCAGAGGCUUGAGAGAAUUAGUGGAACACAGCAUACAUACAUAUUACGAGUUCCUUUUAGAAAUGAAAAUGGUGUACUCAAGAAAUGGAUAUCAAGAUUCGAUGUCUGGCCAUACUUGGAGAAAUUUGCUGAGGACGCUGCUGGAGAAAUUGCUGCAGAAUUGCAGGGCACUCCGGAUUUCAUAAUUGGAAACUACAGUGAUGGAAAUCUUGUGGCAUCGUUGCUGUCUUACAAGAUGGGAAUUACCCAGUGCAAUAUUGCUCAUGCUCUGGAGAAGACAAAAUAUCCAGAUUCAGACAUAUACUGGAAGAAAUUCGAUGAGAAGUAUCAUUUCUCUUGUCAGUUUACUGCUGAUAUAAUCUCUAUGAACAAUGCUGAUUUUAUCAUCACCAGCACAUACCAAGAAAUUGCUGGAAGCAAAAACACUGUUGGACAGUAUGAGAGCCACACGGCUUUCACUCUUCCUGGUUUGUACCGUGUUGUCCAUGGGAUUGAUGUCUUUGAUCCAAAGUUCAAUAUAGUCUCUCCUGGAGCGGACAUGUCCAUAUAUUUUCCAUACACAGAGAAGGCCAAGCGGCUCACUUCUCUUCAUGGUUCAAUCGAAAGUUUGAUUUAUGAUCCAGAGCAAAAUGAUGAACACAUUGGGCAUCUGGAUGACCGAUCAAAACCCAUCCUCUUCUCCAUGGCAAGACUUGACAGGGUGAAGAACAUAACAGGGCUGGUUGAAGCUUAUGCUAAAUGCUCUAAGCUGAGAGAGCUGGUAAACCUUGUUGUCGUUGCUGGGUAUAAUGAUGUAAAGAAGUCCAAGGACAGAGAAGAGAUCGCCGAGAUAGAGAAGAUGCACGAUCUUAUUAAAACCUACAACUUGUUCGGGCAGUUCCGUUGGAUCUCUGCUCAGACAAAUAGGGUCCGCAAUGGUGAGCUCUAUCGCUACAUAGCUGAUACUCAUGGUGCCUUUGUACAGCCAGCCUUUUACGAAGCAUUUGGUCUCACUGUUGUGGAGGCAAUGACCUGUGGGCUUCCUACUUUCGCGACACUCCAUGGAGGGCCAGCUGAGAUUAUUGAGCAUGGCAUCUCAGGCUUCCACAUUGACCCAUACCAUCCUGAUCAGGCUGCUAAGCUGAUAGCUGAGUUCUUCGAACGGUGCAAGCAAGACCCCAACCACUGGGUGAAAGUAUCUGAAGCAGGACUUCAGCGCAUAUACGAAAAGUCAGUUCUGCCAAUCCGGUUUGGUACACAUGGAAGAUUUACUCUGAGCGGCUGAUGACAUUGGCUGGGGUCUACGGUUUCUGGAAGUACGUGUCGAAGCUCGAGAGGCGGGAGACAAGGCGCUACCUUGAGAUGUUCUACAUAUUGAAGUUCCGCGAGCUGGUGAAGACGGUGCCGCUUGCAGUUGACCAGCCACAGUAACUGCUCCUGCCCCUUCGUAGCUUGCUCGGCUGCUACUAUGUAGUACUACAAAACUGUACCUUCUCGGAGGGAUGGGCAUGCAGUGAUUGAGGUGCGGCGGAUGAUAGCUAAUAAAGUGACAUUUGUGCGCCCGCCUGUCUUGUGCAGUUGUGCUGGAUCUGGUUCCUCCGUGACUUGUUGAACAUCUUGGGUUAUGUACAUAUUUGAUACUUCUGUAGCGUCAGGCUGCAGGUGUCUAUGCUGUUUGUGGUCGGUACUCGGUACUGUCUGUAGCGCUACUGUAAUACUAUCAAGCUGUUGGCUGCAAUUUCUUUGCAAGGCAGGCAGGCACUGGUGAAGUGCUGAUAAAUACAGCUUACUACGUUGACGGUAAAGAGAACAUGUUCUUGGCAGGUUCGAUUACACCUGCUCA